AUGAGUAUCUUAUGCUGGAAAUGUCGAGGUUUGGGGUCGGACUCGACAGUUGGCGAGCUUCGCUGGCUUGUGAAGCUUUACCAACCCUCCCUCUUUCUGUCUGAAACGAAGAUGAGGGAUACUCUUGUGAGGAACUUUAUGUGGCCUCUGGGAUUUUCUGGUUGUUUUGCUGUUAGCAGUGAGGGACUCAGUGGCGGCUUUGCUUUGUUCUCGACGUCCUCGGCGAAGGUGCCAGUUAAGGUUGCUAACAAGCAUUGCAUUGACACUCAUGUGAAGCUCAAUGAUGGUGUGGUCUGGCGUGCCUCCUUCAUAUAUGGGGAACCCAGAAGAGAAGACAGAUCCCAAUUUGGGAGCUUCUUCGGCGUCUCCAACCUAUGUGGGAUGCGUCGUGGAUAUGCUGUGGGGAUUUCAAUUAGGUCUUAG
rnacentral:rRNA from 1 species